rnacentral:sRNA from 1 species
AAAGGCUGUUACCCUGCAGGUCCAUCUCACGUCCCCCAGGAGGCCGGGGAAACCCUGGGCUGUGGAGGGAGGGGAGGAGGUUUGAACGAGCCCGCUCUGGGGACCGGGCCGCCUACUCCGCGGGUAAAAAUGGCUGUCUGGGAGGAGGCGGUGGCGGGCCCGGCGUCCGCGGUGCCAGCCCCGGGAGCAGCAGCCUUCUGCCGAACUCGGGUUUUCUUCUGUUUUCAUAGCCAGCCAGAACAAUGUUCUACGCACAUUUUGUUCUCAGUAAAAGAGGGCCUCUGGCCAAAAUUUGGCUAGCGGCCCAUUGGGAUAAGAAGCUAACCAAAGCCCAUGUGUUCGAGUGUAAUUUAGAGAGCAGCGUGGAGAGUAUCAUCUCACCAAAGGUGAAAAUGGCAUUACGGACAUCAGGACAUCUCUUACUGGGAGUAGUUCGAAUCUAUCACAGGAAAGCCAAAUACCUUCUUGCAGACUGUAAUGAAGCAUUCAUUAAGAUAAAGAUGGCUUUUCGGCCAGGUGUGGUUGACCUGCCUGAGGAAAAUCGGGAAGCAGCUUAUAAUGCCAUUACUUUACCUGAAGAAUUUCAUGACUUUGAUCAGCCACUGCCUGACUUAGAUGACAUCGAUGUGGCCCAGCAGUUCAGCUUGAAUCAGAGUAGAGUGGAAGAGAUAACCAUGAGAGAAGAAGUUGGGAACAUCAGUAUUUUACAAGAAAAUGAUUUUGGUGAUUUUGGAAUGGAUGAUCGUGAGAUAAUGAGAGAAGGCAGUGCUUUUGAGGAUGACGACAUGUUAGUAAGCACUACUACUUCUAACCUCCUAUUAGAGUCUGAACAGAGCACCAGCAAUCUGAAUGAGAAAAUUAACCAUUUAGAAUAUGAAGAUCAAUAUAAGGAUGAUAAUUUUGGAGAA